rnacentral:rRNA from 1 species
AGCGAACGCUGGCGGCAGGCCUAACACAUGCAAGUCGAACGAACCUUUCGGGGUUAGUGGCGGACGGGUGAGUAACACGUGGGAACGUGCCUUUAGGUUCGGAAUAACUCAGGGAAACUUGUGCUAAUACCGAAUGUGCCCUUCGGGGGAAAGAUUAAUCGCCUUUAGAGCGGCCGGCGUCGGAUUAGCUAGUUGGUUGAGGUAAUGGCUUACCAAGGCGACGAUCAGUAGCUGGUCUGAGAGGAUGAUCAGCCACAUUGGGACUGAGACACGGCCCAAACUCCUACGGGAUGCAGCAGUGGGGAAUCUUGCGCAAUGGGCGAAAGCCUGACGCAGCCAGGCCGCGUGAAUGAUGAAGGUCUUAGGAUUGUAAAAUUCUUUCACCGGGGACGAUAAUGACGGUACCCGGAGAAGAAGCCCCGGCUAACUUCGUG